CUUUUCUGCCUAGGCUGGCUUCAAGCCAUGAUCCUUAGGUCCCAGCCUCCUGAGUAGCUAGGAUUACAAAGGUGAGCCCCUGGCAUCUGGUACCUGGCCAGUUUCCAGUGG